rnacentral:rRNA from 1 species
GCCUGAAGGCGCUCGAUCUCGUCUGAUCUCGGAAGCUAAGCAGGGUGGGGCCUGGUUAGUAUCUUGGAUGGGAGACCACCUGGGAAUCCCGGGU